GGCUUUAUAUUUACUUUAGUAAUAUUAGAUUGCAAAUCUGAAGGGGUAGAGUUGUCUACUAAAGCUU
rnacentral:tRNA from 1 species